CAUUGCUGGGUAGCUACGUCGGGCAGAGAUAACCGCUGAAAGCAUCUAAGUGGGAAACUCGCCUCAAGAUUAGAUCCCUGUAUUCUGGUUAACAGAGUAAGACCGCAGGUAGACCACCUGCUAUAUAGGCAACAAGUGUAAUCGCAGUAAUGUGUUGAGCUAAGUUGUACUAAUGGUCGAGGGCUGAAUCCC
rnacentral:rRNA from 1 species